rnacentral:tRNA from 1 species
GAAAAUUUAGUUAAACAAUAACAUUAUCUUGUCAAGAUAAAAUUAUUCAGAUGAAUAAUUUUCU